CACGUAGGGCGCAAGCGUUGUCCGGAAUUAUUGGGCGUAAAGAGCUCGUAGGCGGUUUGUCGCGUCUGCUGUGAAAACCUAAGGCUCAACCUUGGGCUUGCAGUGGGUACGGGCAGACUAGAGUGCGGUAGGGGUGACUGGAAUUCCUGGUGUAGCGGUGGAAUGCGCAGAUAUCAGGAGGAACACCGAUGGCGAAGGCAGGUCACUGGGCCGCAACUGACGCUGAGGAGCGAAAGCAUGGGGAGCGAACAGG
rnacentral:rRNA from 1 species